rnacentral:rRNA from 1 species
GAUGAACGCUGGCGGCGUGCCUAAUACAUGCAAGUCGAGCGAAUGGAUUAAGAGCUUGCUCUUAUGAAGUUAGCGGCGGACGGGUGAGUAACACGUGGGUAACCUGCCCAUAAGACUGGGAUAACUCCGGGAAACCGGGGCUAAUACCGGAUAACAUUUUGAACCGCAUGGUUCGAAACUGAAAGGCGGCUUCGGCUGUCACUUAUGGAUGCACCCGCGUCGCAUUAGCUAGUUGGUGAGGUAACGGCUCACCAAGGCAACGAUGCGUAGCCGAACUGGGAGGGUGAGCGGCACAACUGGGACGGAGAACAGGCCCAGAAUCCGACGGGAGGCAGCAGUAGGGAAUCUGCCGCAAUGGACGAAAGUCUGACGGAGCAACGCCGCGUGAGUGAUGAAGGCUUUCGGGUCGUAAAGCUCUGUUGUUAGGGAAGAACAAGUGCUAGUUGAAUAAGCUGGCACCUUGACGGUACCUAACCAGAAAGCCACGGCUAACUACGUGCCAGCCGCCGCGGUAA